rnacentral:rRNA from 1 species
UUCCGGUUGAUCCCGCCGGACCCCACUGCUAUCGAGAUGGGACUAAGGUGUGCUAGUCGAACGACCAGAACUAUGUCUGGAAGUGGCACACUGCUCAGUAACACGUAGCUAACCUACCCUUAGGACGUGGAUACCCCCGAGAAAUUGGGGUUAAUCCGCGAUAGGUGUAAUGUCCUGGAAUGGUAUUACGCCUAAAGGUGUAUCAUACAUGUUUGAUAUACGCCUAAGGAUGGGGCUGCGGCCGAUCAGGCUGUUGGUGAGGUAAUGGCUCACCAAACCUUUGACCGGUACGGGCCAUGAGAGUGGUAGCCCGGAGAUGGACACUGAGACAAGGGUCCAGGCCCUAAGGGGCGCAGCAACCGCGAAACCUCCACAAUGCACUCACGUGCGAUGGGGCUAUCUCGAGUGCCACCUGAUGAAGGUGGCUUUUCCUAGGUCUUCAAAGCCUUGGGAAUAAGAGGGGGGCAAGACUGGUGUCAGCCGCCGCGGUAACACCAGCCCCUCGAGUGGUGGGGAUGAUUAUUUGGCCUAAAGCGUCCGUAGCCGGCCGAGCAAGUCUUCCGUUAAAUCCAGCGUCUCAAGCGUUGGACUGCGGGAGAUACUACACGGCUAGAGAGUGGGAGAGGUCAGCGGUAUUCUGGGGGUAGGGGCGAAAUCCUUUGAUCCCCGGAGGACCACCAGUGGCGAAGGCUGCUGACUAGAACACGUCUGACGGUCAGGGACGAAAGCUGGGGUAGCGAACCGGAUUAGAUACCCGGGUAGUCCCAGCCGUAAACGAUGCAUGCUAGGUGUU